GUAAGACUGGGAUAACUCCGGGAAACCGGGGCUAAUACCGGAUGGUUGUCUGAACCGCAUGGUUCAGACAUAAAAGGUGGCUUCGGCUACCACUUACAGAUGGACCCGCGGCGCAUUAGCUAGUUGGUGAGGUAACGGCUCACCAAGGCGACGAUGCGUAGCCGACCUGAGAGGGUGAUCGGCCACACUGGGACUGAGACACGGCCCAGACUCCUACGGGAGGCAGCAGUAGGGAAUCUUCCGCAAUGGACGAAAGUCUGACGGAGCAACGCCGCGUGAGUGAUGAAGGUUUUCGGAUCGUAAAGCUCUGUUGUUAGGGAAGAACAAGUGCCGUUCAAAUAGGGCGGCACCUUGACGGUACCUAACCAGAAAGCCACGGCUAACUACGUGCCAGCAGCCGCGGUAAUACGUAGGUGGCAAGCGUUGUCCGGAAUUAUUGGGCGUAAAGGGCUCGCAGGCGGUUUCUUAAGUCUGAUGUGAAAGCCCCCGGCUCAACCGGGGAGGGUCAUUGGAAACUGGGGAACUUGAGUGCAGAAGAGGAGAGUGGAAUUCCACGUGUAGCGGUGAAAUGCGUAGAGAUGUGGAGGAACACCAGUGGCGAAGGCGACUCUCUGGUCUGUAACUGACGCUGAGGAGCGAAAGCGUGGGGAGCGAACAGGAUUAGAUACCCUGGUAGUCCACGCCGUAAACGAUGAGUGCUAAGUGUUAGGGGGUUUCCGCCCCUUAGUGCUGCAGCUAACGCAUUAAGCACUCCGCCUGGGGAGUACGGUCGCAAGACUGAAACUCAAAGGAAUUGACGGGGGCCCGCACAAGCGGUGGAGCAUGUGGUUUAAUUCGAAGCAACGCGAAGAACCUUACCAGGUCUUGACAUCCUCUGACAAUCCUAGAGAUAGGACGUCCCCUUCGGGGGCAGAGUGACAGGUGGUGCAUGGUUGUCGUCAGCUCGUGUCGUGAGAUGUUGGGUUAAGUCCCGCAACGAGCGCAACCCUUGAUCUUAGUUGCCAGCAUUCAGUUGGGCACUCUAAGGUGACUGCCGGUGACAAACCGGAGGAAGGUGGGGAUGACGUCAAAUCAUCAUGCCCCUUAUGACCUGGGCUACACACGUGCUACAAUGGACAGAACAAAGGGCAGCGAAACCGCGAGGUUAAGCCAAUCCCACAAAUCUGUUCUCAGUUCGGAUCGCAGUCUGCAACUCGACUGCGUGAAGCUGGAAUCGCUAGUAAU
rnacentral:rRNA from 1 species